rnacentral:rRNA from 1 species
UACAGAGGUCCCAAGCGUUGUUCGGAUUUACUGGGCGUAAAGGGUGCGUAGGCGGCGUGGAAAGUUCGGGGUGAAAUCUCCAGGCUCAACUUGGAAACUGCCCAGAAUACUUCCAUGCUAGAGGGUCGCAGAGGAGAUUGGAAUUCUCGGUGUAGCAGUGAAAUGCGUAGAUAUCGAGAGGAACAUCAGUGGCGAAAGCGAAUCUCUGGGCGGCAUCUGACGCUGAGGCACGAAAGCCAGGGGAGCAAACGGG